UUGAUUCAAAGGAUUUGCAUAGGAAUUUUAGAGGAUUAAAAUCUUUAGAAAUUUUUCCUAUGUUGGUUGUUUGAUUCAUAGGUUUGAAUCCUAUAGGAAACUUUCCUAAGGAAUUUUUUGUACUACUUCCCAUAGGAUUUCUAGCAUCCACUCAAACCUCUUUGAAAGAAUCCUUUGUUUUUCCUAUGAUGUAAUCAAACAACCGAAAAUCCUAUAGGAUUGAGAUGAGCAUGACAUUCCAAUCCUAUGUUUUUCCUAUUCCCAUGUUUUUACAAUCCCGCGAAUCAAAGAGGCCCU
rnacentral:lncRNA from 1 species